rnacentral:rRNA from 1 species
GAUGAACGCUAGCUACAGGCUUAACACAUGCAAGUCGAGGGGCAGCACAGUGUAGCAAUACAUGGGUGGCGACCGGCGCACGGGUGCGUAACGCGUAUCCAACCUUCCCGUUACUCUCGGAUAGCCUUCCGAAAGGGAGAUUAAUACGAGAUGGUGUUGAAAUUCCGCAUGUUAUUUCAACUAAAGAUUCAUCGGUAACGGAUGGGGAUGCGUGACAUUAGGUAGAUGGCGGGGUAACGGCCCAUCAUGCCCACGAUGUCUAGGGGUUCUGAGAGGAAGGUCCCCCCANACUGGAACUGAGACACGGUCCAGACUCCUACGGGAGGCAGCAGUGAGGAAUAUUGGUCAAUGGUCUGACGACUGAACCAGCCAUGCCGCGUGAAGGUCACGGCCCUAUGGGUCUUAAAACUUCUUUUGUAAGGGAGCAAUAAGGUGCACGUGUGCAUCGAUGAGAGUACCUUACGGAAUUAAGCAUCGGCUAAUUCCG